GAGCUGGAUUAUUGAGGUUAAAAGGACUGACAAUCCCGGGUCCAGGGAGGAGGCUGGAAGUUGACUGGAUUGAAUCUGACUUAUUGUUUUUGCUUUUUUAUUUUUAAUAUUGGGAAUGUUUAUAAAUGUUUGAAGGAUGUUGAAUGAAAUUAUAUGACUUAAGUAAGGAUUGGUAAAUGAUUUGAAAAAAGGUAAUGAUGUAAGAAUUUGCUAAAUAUUGAAUAUAAGCUUUGAGUUUUAAAGUUUUUAUAUGACAAGAGGGAAAAUAGAAUAAGGAAACGCAAUGAUAGAUUGUUAUGAAAAAACAGAAAGGAUUUGCUGUAAAAAUUAAAUACUAAGAAACAAGAGAGGGAAGGAGGAGGAAGUCUAGAAAGGAAGUUAAUGGAGAUCGUAAAGGAUUUUAUAUUUCUGUUUUUCUGUUUUUCUUUUUUUUCUUUUUUGCGGCUGGGUUUUUUCUUCUUUAUUAUUUCUGUAUUAUUUUUGUUUUAUUUGUAUUUUCAAACUUUUUUGGAAAUUUUUGUUGUUACUUGUUACUUUUUGAAAAUUUAAUAAAUAU